rnacentral:RNase_P_RNA from 1 species
UUCGCCGGGCGGGCAGUCGCGUCCGGGCGUGCCGCCCCCGAGGGGGCCGAGGCGCCUGGCCGAGGAAAGUCCGGUCUCCGCAGGGCAGCGUGCCGGCUAACGGCCGGGAGGGCGUGCUCAAAGCGCGCUUUACGGACAGUGGCACAGAAAAUAUACCGCCCCGGAUUUCGGUCCGGGGUAAGGGUGAAAAGGUGCGGUAAGAGCGCACCGCGCUCCGGGCGACCGGAGUGGCAGGCAAAACCCCACGUGGAGCAAGACCAAAUAGGGGAGGAUGGGACGGCCCGUCCCGUUUGACUUCCGGGUAGGUUGCUAGAGCUUGCCGGCAACGGCAAGCCGAGAGGAAUGACUGCCGCCCCGGCUGCGAGGCUGGGGAACAGAAACCGGCUUACAGCCCGGCGGACUUC